CAGAGGUGGGAUUAUACCAGCAAAGACAUUGCUAAUUUGAACUGAAGAGAGCACAGUGAAAGUGAGAUGGAGUGAAGGGAACCUGCCGGACGUCUUGGUAUCCAUAAUACCAAACCACACGGCUCUUUGUGCCCAUCAGGUGAUCCUUCAGGAAAAGGAGAAUGGCUCUGAAGGGGUCAGAAGUCAUAGGACUGACCACAUUCCAUUUUUGAGAGGCCAUGCCGCUGCAACAGAGAGCCUUAGGAGCAGGGUCACUGGGAGCUUUGGGAACAAGCUCGCUCAAACCUUGGAAGCCAGACUUCUCAGCAAACCCUUGGGGCCAAAGCAAUGUGUAUGGAAGGUUUUAAUGAGGGGCUAAAAUGAAAAGGACAAUGCAAAAUGUCUGCAGGUGGAUGUCAAGAUUGUCAGCGCUGGCUUCUAUCUCUGCAUCUUUCUGGAUUAAUCCUUUUAUACAUCACACGUCUCUUGGAUGGAAUGAGAUGGGGCUGAGUGUCCCUGGCAGGAUUGCUGACUCCGAACACUUAUGCAAUGAAUGAGGAAAAACAGAAAGAAAGAAAGUUGGAAGGACAUGGAGGAAGGUAUCAUUAUAUUCUCAGAAUUGUACCUAUGAACUACACUGAAUGUGUUCUCUUGGUAUUACUAUCACAUUAACAUGAGAAUUGAUGAGGAUAUUGUUCUAAGUAUUACACAGUUUCUGUGACCCUGAGAAUCUAAUGUA